rnacentral:rRNA from 1 species
GACGAACGCUGGCGGCGUGCUUAACACAUGCAAGUCGAACGGAAAGGCCCUGCUUUUGUGGGGUGCUCGAGUGGCGAACGGGUGAGUAACACGUGAGUAACCUGCCCUUGACUUUGGGAUAACUUCAGGAAACUGGGGCUAAUACCGGAUAGGAGCUCCUGCUGCAUGGUGGGGGUUGGAAAGUUUCGGCGGUUGGGGAUGGACUCGCGGCUUAUCAGCUUGUUGGUGGGGUAGUGGCUUACCAAGGCUUUGACGGGUAGCCGGCCUGAGAGGGUGACCGGCCACAUUGGGACUGAGAGACGGCCCAGACUGGUACGGGGGGCAGUAGUGGGGAAUAUUGCACAAUGGGCGGAAGCCUGAUGCGGCAACGCCGCGGGCGGGAUGACGGCCUUCGGGUUGUAAACCGCUUUCGCCUGUGACGAAGCGUGAGUGACGGUAAUGGGUAAAGAAGCACCGGCUAACUACGUG